AACCUUCCACCUCCAUCAUGUCCGAUACAUACAUACAUACAUACCGGAGAAUUCGUCACGAAUCGCGAUGGAGAAAUAAAUCUCUGUAUGUCCCGGCUCCGGUGCCUGGCCGUACCCGGAGAGUUAGAGUUAAAACCUAUAGGGUAACCGUUAGGCUUUUAUUUUUUAUUUUUUAAGGGCUUGUUUGUUUGCCUGGCGCCCAAUGCAAUGCAAUUUUAUAGAUAGAUAGAUACUAUAUAUGUAGGAACUACAACGAUCGAUGGUUAGAGGGCGAGGCGGGUUUUUUCUUUACUAGCUCUCAAAUUUCAGUGAUAAACAAACCUAUCAGGUUUAUGUUAGACAGGCAGUUCGGGUUCGGUACAAGUAACUACUAUAUAAACAACAAGGG
rnacentral:sRNA from 1 species